UACGAAGGGGGCUAGCGUUUUUCGGAUUUACUGGGCGUAAAGCGCGUGUAGGCGGGUCGUUAAGUUGGGGGUGAAAUCCCGGAGAUCAACGCCGGAACUGCCUCCAAAACUGGCGACCUGGAGCAGAGGAGAGGCGAGUGGAAUUCCGAGUGUAGAGGUGAAAUUCGUGGAUAUUCGGAGGAACCCCAGUGACGAAGGCGACUCGCUGGACUCUUGCUGACGCUGAGACGCGAAAGCGUGGGGCGCAAACAGG
rnacentral:rRNA from 1 species